rnacentral:misc_RNA from 1 species
GAAAUGCGAUAAGUAAUGUGAAUUGCAGAAUUCAGUGAAUCAUCGAAUCUUUGAACGCACCUUGCGCUCCUUGGUAUUCCUUGGAGCAUGCCUGUUUGAGUAUCAUGAAAUCUUCAAAGUAAAUCUUUUGUUAACUCAAUUGGUUUCUACUUUGGUAUUGGAGGUCUUUGCAGCUUCACACCUGCUCCUCUUUGUUCAUUAGCUGGAUCUCAGUGUUAUGCUUGGUUCCACUCUGCGUGAUAAGUUAUCUAUCGCUGAGGACACUGUAAAAGGUGGCCAAGGUAAAUGCAGAUGAACCGCUUCUAAUAGUCCAUUGACUUGGAAAAUACUUUUAUGAUCUGAUCUCAAAUCAGGUAGGACUACCCGCUGAACUUAAGC